rnacentral:rRNA from 1 species
UGGGGAAUUUUGGACAAUGGGCGAAAGCCUGAUCCAGCCAUGCCGCGUGAGUGAAGAAGGCUUUCGGGUUGUAAAGCUCUUUUAGUCGGAAAGAAAGAGUUGCAAUGAAUAAUUGAGAUUUAUGACGGUACCGACAGAAAAAGCACCGGCUAACUACGUGCCAGCAGCCGCGGUAAUACGAAGGGUGCGAGCGUUAAUCGGAAUUACUGGGCGUAAAGGGUGCGCAGGCGGUCUUGCAAGUCAGAUGUGAAAGCCCCGGGCUUAACCUGGGGAUUGCGUUUGAAACUGCAAGUCUAGAGUGCAGCAGAGGGGAGUGGAAUUCCAUGUGUAGCAGUGAAAUGCGUAGAGAUUUGGAAGAACACCGAUGGCGAAGGCAGCUCCCUGGGUUGACACUGACGCUCAUGCACGAAAGCGUGGGGAGCAAACA